rnacentral:SRP_RNA from 1 species
CCCGCACAUAUUUCCGUGUUUUGAUGACUUUGAAUUUCGGGGGUCGCGAAAUUUCGCGGGGUCGGGAGUUCUGGUGCUAACUCGUGCAUGUUGAUCGGGCAUCCACGCUAAGCACGGCGCCGAUAUGGAUGGUCAGUCGGAGGGUAGGCUGUCCAGGUCGCCCAAGGAGGGGCGAACCGGCUCAGGGGGAAAACCCAGCAGGCAAAAGUCCCCGCGUGAUGCAGUAGCGGGAUAGCGGGCUGUGAAUGACAGUGACAUCUCCAGGCUCAUAUGCGCGUGAUUUGCACCU